UGCUUAGUUCAAGUGGAAUCAGAAUAUCCGAAAUAUCUACGAAAUUUUCAUAUAAGUAAUUAAUUUCAAUUUCCAAAGCAAACAAAUACCCAAGGAAUUUCAAAAGUAGCUCAUCGACACACGUGAAUAUUAGGACAUCAGCAUUA